UUUUCUAUCAAGGCAUUCGCUAAAUAAACUAUCUGUUCUUAUCAGCUUAAUAUCUGAUACGCCCCGCAUGCGGGGCCAGUGUAUUAAACUGAUUUUUGGAAAUUGACGAAGGUUAGGGGCUUGCUCCACCUUUGUCGCGGGUUGGCCUGGUAUUGCUGUACCGCCAGGAUCGGCCCACUUGAA
rnacentral:snRNA from 1 species